rnacentral:lncRNA from 1 species
AUCGUUAUUCUGAUAUUCAAGAUCAGUUGGUGAAUAUUAUGAAUAUUAAUGACUUAAAAAGUUUAAAAAGGCUUGAUUUGGCAUAAUACCAUGCAUUUUAAUAUACAGGUACAGAAUACAUGUCCCAAGUAGUGUGCUGCAAUGGUUAUUUUUCAUGUGAACACACACACCUUUUCUUAGGUUAUGCCACAAAUAAAUUAAAAUUCUGAAUAAAUAUGUUUCUUCAAGAGCUGAUCUUUGGCAUCAGAAAGUAACAUGUUGCUGCGACUACAUAUUCAAAUUGGAAACGAAGUUAUCGGCUUAUUUCCAGCUAAAACAAUAUUGCAGAUAUGAUUCUUUUGAUUUAUGACUUUUGCCUGAAUGAU